UGUAUUCACUACUGUAAGUUGCUCUGGAUAAGAGCGUCUGCCAAAUGACUAAAA
rfam:Salmo salar isolate Sally breed double haploid chromosome ssa14, whole genome shotgun sequence.